rnacentral:rRNA from 1 species
AUUGAACGCUGGCGGCAUGCCUUACACAUGCAAGUCGAACGGCAGCACGGGUGCUUGCACCUGGUGGCGAGUGGCGAACGGGUGAGUAAUACAUCGGAACAUGUCCUGUAGUGGGGGAUAGCCCGGCGAAAGCCGGAUUAAUACCGCAUACGAUCUACGGAUGAAAGCGGGGGCUCUUCGGACCUCGCGCUAUAGGGUUGGCCGAUGGCUGAUUAGCUAGUUGGUGGGGUAAAGGCCUACCAAGGCGACGAUCAGUAGCUGGUCUGAGAGGACGACCAGCCACACUGGGACUGAGACACGGCCCAGACUCCUACGGGAGGCAGCAGUGGGGAAUUUUGGACAAUGGGCGAAAGCCUGAUCCAGCAAUGCCGCGUGUGUGAAGAAGGCCUUCGGGUUGUAAAGCACUUUUGUCCGGAAAGAAAUCCUUGGCUCUAAUACAGUCGGGGGAUGACGGUACCGGAAGAAUAAGCACCGGCUAACUACGUG